rnacentral:lncRNA from 1 species
GAAAUUAAAGCAUAUAUUGUCUGUGGAAAACUUUAGUUGAGCAUUAUAUCUUUAAUUAAAUUUAGGUAAUGCAGAAGUGACAUUCCAACAGAAUUUUUUGUAUCUAUCAUGCAUUUCCUAGAAAUAUAGGAUGUAUAUUUAAUAAACUGGAAUCAGAAAGAGAAUUAGAAAGGAAGUGACUCCAGUGCAGUGGGAUGGAUAUUGAAGAUGUUAAAUUAUUAUACUUAUAUCUUUUAUUAGAUGUAAUCUGAAUAACCUGAAAAGGAAGUGUCUGAGUGAGUUCAGAGCAGGAUCCGAGGCAGCUUAACCUGCAGCUUGUAAUGAUCUCCUAAGGGUUAGGCACUGGGAAACUACUGACAACAGGAGCACUGGAAAAACCUCAGGCCUCCUCAGAACUGUGGGAAGAAGCUUUCCUUUUAGGAUCUUCUCUGGAAGCGUUCAAAUUUAAGACUCCUGAAGGACAAGCACCAUGGAGGUGCAGAGAUAAUUGUAAGGUGA